rnacentral:rRNA from 1 species
AGCAGCCGCGGUAAUCCCAGCUCCAAUAGCGUAUAUUAAAGUUGUUGCAGUUAAAAAGCUCGUAGUUGAACUUCAGGCCUGUCCAGAUGGUCCGCCUUAAUUGGUGUGUACUGUCCUUGGGUGGGUCCUACCUUCUGGCGAAGCGGCAUGGCCUUAAUUGGUUGUGUUGGGGAACCAGGACUUUUACUGUGAAAAAAUUAGAGUGUUCAAAGCAGGCAAAUAUGCUCGAAUACAUUAGCAUGGAAUAAUGGAAUAGGACGAUGGUUCUAUUUUGUUGGUUCUAGGACCGUUGUAAUGAUUAAUAGGGAUAGUUGGGGGCAUUAGUAUUCAAUUGUCAGAGGUGAAAUUCUUGGAUUUAUUGAAGACUAACUACUGCGAAAGCAUUUGCCAAGGAUGUUUCUAUAAUUCAAGAACGAAAGUUAGGGGAGUCGAAGACGAUCAGAUACGUCCGUAGUCUUAACCAUAAACUAUGCCGACCUAGGAAUACGGGCGGAUGUUUGACAAAAUAGACUCGCUCGGC